GGUUAAGCGACUAAGCGUACACGGUGGAUGCCCUGGCAGUCAGAGGCGAUGAAGGGCGUGCUAAUCUGCGAUAAGCGCCGGUAAGGUGAUAUGAACCGUUAUAACCGGCGAUACCCGAAUGGGGAAACCCAGUGUGAUUCGUCACACUAUCAUUAACUGAAUCCAUAGGUUAAUGAGGCGAACCGGGGGAACUGAAACAUCUAAGUACCCCGAGGAAAAGAAAUCAACCGAGAUUCCCCCAGUAGCGGCGAGCGAACGGGGAGGAGCCCAGAGCCUGAAUCAGCAUAUGUGUUAGUGGAAGCGUCUGGAAAGGCGCGCGAUACAGGGUGACAGCCCCGUACACAAAAGCGCAUGUGCUGUGAGCUCGAUGAGUAGGGCGGGACACGUGGUAUCCUGUCUGAAUAUGGGGGGACCAUCCUCCAAGGCUAAAUACUCCUGACUGACCGAUAGUGAACCAGUACCGUGAGGGAAAGGCGAAAAGAACCCCGGCGAGGGGAGUGAAAAAGAACCUGAAACCGUGUACGUACAAGCAGUGGGAGCCCCACCACCAAAGCAUUCUCUGGUGUUGAAGGCCCUGCAAAGCAGAAUCGCGGUGGCGGAGCGUCGUUUGCGACGCCCAACACACAAAACAAGCGGUGAGUGCUUUGGGGUGGGGUGACUGCGUACCUUUUGUAUAAUGGGUCAGCGACUUAUAUUCUGUAGCAAGGUUAACCGAAU
rnacentral:rRNA from 1 species